rnacentral:snRNA from 1 species
AUGGCUUCUCGGCCUUUUGACUAAGAUCAAGUGUAGGAUCUGUCCUUCUCAGUGUAAUAACAAGGGUCCCAAGAAAAUCCAGGUGGGAAAAAACAGUCUUUUCAACAAAU